rnacentral:tRNA from 1 species
GCCCGGAUAGCUCAGUUGGUAGAGCAUAAGAUUGAAAAUCUUUGUGUCAGUGGUUCAAUUCCACUUUCGGGCA